rnacentral:lncRNA from 1 species
UAGGGAAACCCUAACUCACCCGCAUGGUUGAGACACUAUAUCGGUAAGGAAAUGACCUUUCUUAUUGCCUCGGUAAAAGUCCUUCCACUUUGGCCUAAUCUGUGCACCCAUGUUCAUAUUAAUUCCAUGUAUGGAGUAGGCUACACCAAAGCGUGAUGGUAGGUAAUGUUAGUAAGGUAGCCCAACAGACGGGUUCUUUGGGACACCAAGUUCAG